AGCAGGAGAAGCACUGCCUCAGUAUCCUCGGGGUGUGUGCUGAUGAAAAGUCACAAGUUACAAGGGACAGUCAAAUUACAAAGUUAGAAAUUGAGGGCCUUGGGAAUGUGAAGGUAGUGGACAGUGCUUUGUGUAGGAGAUUUGAUACUCUGCUAGCCUCAGUUAAUCAGAUGGCAACUGUGAAUGUGGACUUUGUGUUGCAUAUUUAUCCUGCCGGGCCAGAACACACAAACUAAGCUGAACUUUACAUCUUGAAAGCCUUAUUUUACACUACAUAGAUCUCUGAGGGCUGUCUGGGAAACCUAAGGCAGGGCACGACUCCUCUGGGACACCAUCAACUGACCAUUCCAUCAGGCAGGGAGAGAGUGGUCAUGGUGCUUGUCAGAGCUGAAGUAUAUUUACUUCAUCUCCCAGCAGAUAAACAUUUGCAAGGCAAAUAAUAAAUUAGCCAU